UCCCUCGUCUGUGUGGCCAAGCUGUACGGAUAGCGUUCAGCUCCUGUUACCUUCUAAGAAGUGAAUUUGCUUACAGAGAUUUAGUUACUCUUUUCGCACACCAUGGUUUAUGAGUUAUCACUGACGACUGUAGCAUUCAUCUCAUUGCCAGUAGAACGAUUCAGUUAGAUCAUUCAGUCGUGAACGAACAACGGAGCAUUAAUAGAGAUAAAAUAGGAAAAAAUCUUGUCGAAGCUAAUACAAAAAGAAAAAAAAACAGAUAUUUGAGAUACCAAUUGUGAUUAUUGAACGCACGUUGCGUACUCAUAAUCUAUUGUAAUUUCGUGUAGUCGUAAAGGCAUCAGUUUCCAAAAUACUUACAAAACUUCCUCAAAAUACAUUUUUAAGAUCUUAAACUACAAGAAAUUGCAAGAAAAGUAAAAAAUAAAAGAUAACAUGGAACCCUCAAUUUCGAAAAUAGAACUACAUCAAGUCAUGCAAGAACCCGUACAGAGGGGCAAAUGUACAUGCUGUAAGUGUUGUUGUAUUUGUUUUGUGAUUUUAAUUAUUCUUGGAGCGAUUUUUGUUGUUAUUAUGGUGCAGCAAUUUGGAUCUUCUGUUGAUUUUUCAACAAUAUCAAAAACACUAUACAAUGAUGUAAAAGAUACUAUUGAAAAUACUAUAGAUACCAGCCGUAUUAAAUGGUGAUUUAGAGAGAUUCUAUUCACUAUUCCAUACGUUAUUGAAGAUAUCCUGCAUGCUAUUCGAAGCUUUAUUGAAGAGAUUUUAUAUUCUAUACUCUAUAUUCUCACAUUUUCAAAUCAUUUGAUAUAUCUUUAUGGAUAAUAAGUUUAAACAGAAAAUGAGACGUUACUGAUGACAAAUACCUUUCAAUGAUUGAAUCACUGUCUGAAAUACAGAUGCUACUUCCGAGUACAGAAAUACUUGCAAUGUUUGACAUAUCUGAGGUCGAUAUACUUAGAUAACAUAAAUAAAUAAUCUUUUAAAAGACCUAAAUUAAAAGAAGAAAACGAGACAAUUGUAAUAAAUAUAGUCGUUAUAAUGCAAGUAAAUACGCAAAAUUCUAUUAACUUGCGAAGUAACAAAAUAAUUAACGAUUACGUUAGUAAUGUCAAAAGAUUUUUGAUGAAAUUAUCCGGAAAUUUAGUACACAAUAAAAUAUUUACAAAUUGUCUGGUACCAGGACAAUUUUUUCAUAUUGCACCUGUUGAUGAAAAAUGUUAAUACUGAAGAAGAAUGAAGGAUUUGUUUCAUACAAUUUCUUGAGAAAUUGAAACAUAUAAAUGAAGUAAAAACAUCAAGCAAUUUAAAAAAGUUCAAAAGUAGGAAUGAUUUUGCUGAAGACGUUAAUCAUUUAACAUUAAAAAAUUAAGAAGAUCAUGUGUUAAAUGCGUCCAAUAAACUAAAAGAUUUACAAUCCAAUAUUAUAACAAUUUUAAAAGCUAAUAAUUUCGAAAAACAUACACACCUGUUUCGGAUGCAAAAUAAAGCUUUGACAAAUAGCUUCCAAAAUCCGAAAGUUUUCGAUUUAAUCAAAAGAUGCACGAGAUAGUAGUGACAACAUUGUUUAUUUGAAAUUUUUGUUAAAUAAAUAGAAAAAGCAGAAACGGAUACAAAAAAUUUUCUUACUUUUCAGUGUAACAAAAUUGUUUGGAGAUCGAUUUGUAACACACCUGCACGACUUCAACUAAUCACUAAAAGCUAUUUAUUACUGAGCGAACUGUAAUUAUAUUCGAUUGCUGGAUCUAUCAGAUUUGUCGCAAAAUAAAUACCGAUGGUGGAAUCUGCCAAAGGAAUUCGAAAUAUUGAUGAUCGACGCUUAUGUAGAGCAAUAAGCCGCUCACAGAUCACUCUAGCCAAUCUCAAAUUUAACCGAUAAUUUUGUUACACACGCGUGGCAACACAUAAAGCACGCAAUACGAGAAGAAACCGUAUCCUCAAUAAAUUUACGAAACAAUUCAAAAAAAGAUAACUUCACAAUAAACGGAUUUUUGGAUGUCAUUGUUUUAACAAGGAUCUUCGAGUUCUGCCGAACAUCAUAAAUGACUGAAUAUAUCAUCAGUAUUACCUGCAAAAUUAUAUUAAUAUUGCUGAGGAUACUGAUGCCUGUGUCGGAUGCAAAAGUUAUACAGUCACGAUGGCAUAGAAUCGCUUAUAACAUUUCGACAUUCUGCAUUCUUCAUCUGUAUCUUACAAUCGCAGCUUAUCAAAAUUCUUGAUCAUACACAUGUAUAGACACAUUCAUCAAUUUAUCAUGAACACAUUUUUAAAGAUUUUACGUUUUGUAUUAUUGUGCACUUAUUUUAUUAUGAUAAAAAAAUAAUUUUUUGAAGGUAUUAUGUUAUUUACAUUUUUAUUCUCAAUAUAUUAUAAAUUGGAAGUAAAGAAUAUCAAAUAUAUAAAACAUUAAAAAAAUAAAAAUCUAGUUAUGUAUUCAUAUAUCAUAUAUAAUAAAAAAAAUGUAUAAACAGUAAAAUGUUUUGCUUGAA
rnacentral:lncRNA from 13 species